UACAGAGGUCUCAAGCGUUGUUCGGAUUCAUUGGGCGUAAAGGGUGCGUAGGUGGCGAGGUAAGUCGGAUGUGAAAUCUCAGGGCUCAACCCUGAAACUGCAUUCGAUACUGCCGUGCUUGAGGACUGGAGAGGAGACUGGAAUUUACGGUGUAGCGGUGAAAUGCGUAGAUAUCGUAAGGAAGACCAGUGGCGAAGGCGGGUCUCUGGACAGUUCCUGACGCUGAGGCACGAAGGUCAGGGGAGCAAACGGG
rnacentral:rRNA from 1 species